CGGGACCCGCACAAGCAGCGGAGCAUGUGGUUUAAUUCGAAGCAACGCGAAGAACCUUUACCAGGUCUUGACAUCCCUCUGAAUGGCGCAUAGCAGCGCAGGUCUUUCGGGACAGAGGAGACAGGUGGUGCAUGGUUGUCGUCAGCUCGUGUCGUGAGAUGUUGGGUUAAGUCCCGCAACGAGCGCAACCCCUAUUGUUAGUUGCCAUCAUUCAGUUGGGCACUCUAGCGAGACUGCCGGUAAUAAACCGGAGGAAGGUGGGGAUGACGUCAAAUCAUCAUGCCCCUUAUGACCUGGGCUACACACGUGCUACAAUGGUUGGUACAACGAGUUGCGAGUCGGUGACGGCGAGCUAAUCUCUUAAAGCCAAUCUCAGUUCGGAUUGUAGGCUGCAACUCGCCUACAUGAAGUCGGAAUCGCUAGUAAUCGCGGAUCAGCACGCCGCGGUGAAUACGUUCCCGGGCCCU
rnacentral:rRNA from 1 species